ACACACUAAGACACACUAAGACACCCUAAGACACACUAAGACACACUAAGACACUAGACACCCUAAGACACUAGACACACUAAGACACACUAAGACACAAGACACACUAAGACACAAGACACACUAAGACACUCUAAGACACAAGACACACUAAGACACUAGACACCCUAAGACACACUAGACACCCUAAGACACACUAAGACACACUAAGACACACGACACACUAAGACACACGACACACUAAGACACACGACACACUAAGACACCCUAAGACACACUAAGACACCCUAAGACACACUAAGACACACUAAGACACAAGACACACAAAGACACUAGACACACUAAGACACAAGACACACUAAGACACUAGACACACUAAGACACUAGACACACUAAGACACAAGACACUAGACACCCUAAGACACAAGACACACUAAGACACUAGACACACUAAGACACUAGACACCCUAAGACACACUAAGACACAAGACACACUAAGACACUAGACACACUAAGACACAAGACACACUAAGACAGCUACCAAAAUCAGGUUCUGUGUCUGCCAUGCGUGAUCUUAUCUAGUUUCUUGUGUAUACAUCCUAGAUAUUCAGAAUAUAAUACCUCUUGUUUGGAGGAUAAUAUAUUCUUCUAAAGGUGUAACAGCUUUUAGUGAUGCUAUAUACAGUGUUCAGUAAGGGUUGUUUGAUAGAGCAGAGAAAUAUUCCUUAAAACGUUAUUUCUACAGUGGUUGUUUUGAAUGGUCAGCUACGGUUGCCUUAUGAAGACAUUAAUAUUAAUUAAGAAAACCUAUUUAUUUAAAAAAAAAUUGUCUGAAAGUUGAUUGUUUCAAGGUGCUCAUCCAAGGCAGAUAUGAAUUCAUUUCACAGCCAAGGUUCCCCUCUACUCAAAACCAAACUUCAGUCUCCAAAGAGAACAACCCUACAUUUCUGAUGUCAUUUUAUUAAAUAGAGUACAUGUUUGUAUAUCUCUGGAAUUUUGAACAUAGAGAACAAUCUGAUUAGUCAGCGAUAAAGCCUGUGACACCAUGGCCUCUUACCAGGAAACUGAUGAUACAGAUUAGAACAAAGAUAAAGAGCACACACCUUGGAAGAGACAACAACCACAAAAAAACACAUAUUCCACCUAAAGGAUUAUUAGCUUGUUAGAACAACAGACAUUGUUUAGAAAACACGUUCAAGAGUAGAUGUCAUCCCACACAACAAAUCCCAUAUUAAUCAAAUAAUAAAUGAUCAGUAAAGACAGAUUUCUGGAAGCAUCAGGCAUGAGUGUUAAUGUUGGUUGCUGCUAUGUAGUAAAACAUAUGUAGUAAAACAUAGCAGCAGUAGUAAAACAUAUGUAAUAAAACAUACAGUAAAAAAUAGCAGCGGUAGUAAAACAUGUUUAGUAAAGCAUAUACAGUAAAACAUAGCAGCAGUAGUAAAACAUGUUUAGUAAAGCAUAUACAGUAAAACAUAGCAGUAGUUGUAAAACAUAUGUAAUAAAACAUACAGUAAAAAAUGGCAGCAUUAGUAAAACAUGUUUAGUAAAGCAUAUACAGUAAAACAUAGCAGCAGUAGUAAAACAUAUGUAGCAAAACAUAUACAGUAAAACAUAGCAGCAGCAGUAAAACAUGUUUAGUAAAACAUAUACAGUAAAACGUGAUACAAAGACAUAAUUGAAAUGUUUUACACUGGAUAAUACAUAGACUAAGGUGCAAAUUAGAAUGUUUUGUACUGGAAUUUGCAUUGCCUUGCCACACAUUUCAAAAUCACAAUAAGAAUUACCUCUAAAUCCAUCUGUUCAUUUACAUGCACAGGGUGUAAUGGUGAACAUUUAGGGACAGAAUGGGCAAAAUAUUAGCAAAAAAACUUGUAAGUUGCGAGGUGGAGCUCCCAUGGAUCAGACUUAUUUGUCCAGCACAUCAUACAGAUGCUCAAUCGGAUUGAGAUCUGGGGAAUUUGAAAGGCCAGGGAAACACCUUGAACUCUUCAUUAUGUUCCUAAAAACAAUCCCAAACAAUGUGUGCAGUGUGGCAGGGCACAUUAUCCUGAUGAAAGAGGCCACUGCCACCUGGAAAUACCAAGGAAUGUACCUGGUCUGAAAAGAUGUUGAUGUAGGUAGCACAGGUCAAAUUGACAUCCACAUGAAUGCCUGGACCCAGGGUUUCCCAGCAGAACACUGCCCAGAGCAUCACACUGCCUCCACCGGCUUGUCGUCUUCCCAUGGUGCAUCCUGGUGCCAUCACUUCCCCACGUAAAUGGCGAAUACAUACACAGCUGUCCACGUGAUGUAAAAGAAGACAGGAAUCAUCAGAUCAAACGACCUUCUUCCACUGCUCUAAGGUCCAGUUUGGACGAUGGGGUGCCCAUUGAAGGUGCUUUUGAUGGUGGUUACAGGGGUCAGCAUGGGCACCCUGACCGGUCUGCGGCUACACAGCCUCAUACACAGCAGUGUGCGAUGCACUGGAUUUUGCGACACAUUCCUCCCGUGACCAUCAUAUAAAAAUGUCUAUGACUCGUGCUACAGUAGUCCUUCUGUCAGUUUGGACCAGAUGAUAUAGGCUUCGUUGCCCUCGCUCAUCGAUGGUUUGUGGUUUGUCCCUCUUCAGACCAUAGUCAGUAGGUACUCACCACUACUGACCACCACUACACAUCCCACAAGACUUGUCGUUUCAGAGAUGCUCUGACCCAGUCGUCGGGACAUAACAAUUUGGCCCUUGUCAAAGUCGCUCAGGUCUUUACUCCUGUACAUUUCUCCUGCAUCCAACACGUUGACUACUGAUUGUUCGCUUACCAUCUAAUCUACCCAGACCUUGACAUGUGCCCUUGUUAGGAGAUGAUCAAUGUUAUUCACUUUCUCUGUGAGUGGUCAUAAUUGUUUGGCUCAUCAGUGUACAUACAUUUACAUUUGUACACCGUUCUAGUCCUUGCAAUUCUAUGUAGAUGCAGGAAAUUAUCAGAGUUUUAACUGCAGUAUAGUGCAUCUAGUUAAAUAUUUGGAGAUUACACAAAUUAUUGUUUGCUGAGGGCCACAGCGUUGAGAAAGAAACCGUUAAAGUGAGAUGGGCACUACUUUUUACACCCAAAAAUGUUUACAACAUAUUUUACUCAGAAUAUGAAUAUAUUAGUGCUAUCAAACAAGUAAAAAAAAUUGUCAUGAUUAAUCGCAUGAUCUUUCAUAGUUUUUCAGUUUUCUAGACUGUGCAUUAUGUAAAGUACAUACUAUGUAAAUUGUAACCUAUGGACAGUGCUUAACAAGAAAUUAAUUAAGUGCAGGAGCUAGUGAAUUGACUUGUAUGCUGCUACAACGUAGUCAUGGGAAAAAGUAAGUAAGUUGUUUGACUUUGUAAGCGGUGCAUCCUGACUGACUGGCUGAAUGACUGUAUGUCCGCAGCUGGAACCAAUUCGUCUUUAUUGAUAACGUGACUGCUGACGACAGCAACAGGAAUCAUUUUGAAGUGAACUUUGUUAUCAGAUACAAAGGAAUACCUCUAAAGUCAUGGGACAACACACUACCAUACAGCAUGAAAAUGACCCCAUACCAACUGCCAUAGCUAUGAACAUGUUUUUCAGGGCCACAAAAUAGAAAGUUAUUAACUGGCCAAGUCAAUCACCAGAUUUGAAUCUAAUUGAGCAUGCCUUUAAUAUGCCAAAGACAAUACAGAAGGCAAAAAGGUCUGGAAACAAGCAGGAACUUAAGAUGGUCGCAGAAGAGACCUGUCAGAGCAUCACCAAGGAAGAUACCCUGUGUCUGGUCUAUUGGUUGCAGUUUUCAUGGCAAUCUUUGAAUCUAAAGUAUAUGCAACCAAGAACCAAAUAUGACUACUUUAUUUAACAUAUUGAACAAAUACUGUCGGUAUCCUAAAAUAUGGGGACGAUGGAUAAAACGCUUAAUCCAAUUUGUAUGAAAAUACCCUCAAAUUAAAGCUGACUUUAAUUCAACCCCAUUUUUAUUAUAUAAUAUCCAAAGUUAUGGAAUGAACAGAAAGUGUGAGUGUCCACUGUAUGUAAGUAUAAUUUGGGUUUACAUUGGGUUGUUGUUGUUGUCCACUGUAUAUAAGUAUAAUUUGGGUUUACUUUAGGUUGUUGUUGUCCACUGUAUAUAAGUAUAAUCUGGGUUUACUUUAGGUUGUUGUUGUUGUUGUCCACUGUAUAUAAGUAUAAUCUGGGUUUACUUUAGGUUGUUGUUGUUGUUGUCCACUGUAUAUAAGUAUAAUUUGGGUUUACUUUUGGUUGUUGUUGUCCACUGUAUAUAAGUAUAAUCUGGGUUUACUUUAGGUUGUUGUUGUUGUUGUCCACUGUAUAUAAGUAUAAUUUGGGUUUACUUUUGGUUGUUGUUGUCCACUGUAUAUAAGUAUAAUUUGGGUUUACUUUUGGUUGUUGUUGUCCACGGUAUAUAAGUAUCAUUUGGGUUUACUCUAGGAUGUUGAUAUUGUUCUCUUUACAGUCCAAACACACAAGCCUCAUCAUGGGACAGUCACAUGUCACAGAAAGCGACUAGACAAGCUUAACCGGCAAGGUGCAUUUCAUCUUUCAGGAAAGUAGCUCAAUAAAAACAUUGACAUCUUGAUCACCUGGCUGUCUG
ensembl:lncRNA